rnacentral:rRNA from 1 species
AGCGAACGCUGGCGGCAGGCCUAACACAUGCAAGUCGAACGAACCCUUCGGGGUUAGUGGCGGACGGGUGAGUAACACGUGGGAACGUGCCUUUAGGUUCGGAAUAACUCAGGGAAACUUGUGCUAAUACCGAAUGUGCCCUUCGGGGGAAAGAUUUAUCGCCUUUAGAGCGGCCCGCGUCUGAUUAGCUAGUUGGUGAGGUAAAGGCUCACCAAGGCUACAAUCAGUAGCUGGUCUGAGAGGAUGACCAGCCACAUUGGGACUGAGACACGGCCCAAACUCCUACGGGAGGCAGCAGUGGGGAAUCUUGCGCAAUGGGCGAAAGCCUGACGCAGCCAUGCCGCGUGGAUGAUGAAGGCCUUAGGAUUGUAAAAUCCUUUCACCGGUGAAGAUAAUGACUGUAGCCGGAGAAGAAGCCCCGGCUAACUUCGUGCCAGCAGCCGCAGUAAUAC